CUGGUAUAAUUAAAAGAGUUAAAUAACAUCAUUGAAAUCCGUAAAAGGGUAUUAUUGUUCCCCAGGCCUUACUAACCUAAGUACUUAACGUGUACUCGCGAUAGAUCGUAUCUGAGAUAAGACACGUACAAUGUCGAAAUACAGCAGCAGCAGCAGUAGCAGAGCAGUCAAAAGAAGAAGCAGUCUAUUCGGUUCCUGUGUACUCAUAAAUGCAGUACAGAACUUCACAAGCACAUAUUCAACUCAACUUUGUCUUGUUACGUUCCCAAUACAGGUCCCGUCGGGUUCAACUCGUAGUCCAAACUAGGCCUACCGUUUGGGAGCUGGGAUUACUGCCUUGUGAAUACCUUCAUUUGUUCAUCACCACACGGAGCAUCUGGUGCUGUACUUCUCAUAAUCUCACAAAUACAUGAUGCAACAGAAACUUUAACAUCCACAUUUAAAUUAUUCAAAAGAACGCAAUGCCUUCUGCACAUAAUCGGGUGGUGACUGAUAAAUACUUCUUGAGUUUCUAAAUUUAUAAAAAAGAAAAAAAAAAAUGAGACAAAAAUGUAUUCACAUCUCUAAUCAAAAGGAUAAUAAACAAAGAUCAAAAGCUUGACUCCAGUAUGAAGAUAAGAGUAAGAAUAUAUACAAAAUAAUGAAUUAAAGGAUUGAGUUUACAAUUACACCAAGCAAAAGUAGAAGUUGAUAAACAGAAGAUGGAUCUGGACGUGAAAGAAGUGCAUUUCCAGCUUCUUCAACAUUGUCUGCAAGCUCUUCCUCCUUUUUUACCUCCAUUGUCAUCCCCCUCAAUUUCUAAUCAAUACCCUAAACCCUUAUUAUCAAGCAACAACUUAUUCUUUUCUUGCUCAAUAAAUAAACUAAAAGAAGUCCAUAUUCCACAUUGAGUUUAAAAGCUUCCAAAAUAUUUCUUCUCUCUUUCACUGCACAAUCAAUUUUCUAGGAAGCCAAACAAACAGACAUAUAAAUACCCACAUAUAAAUACCCACAUAUAGAAACUCAAUUUUCUAAUUUACAAAAAAAAAUCUAAGAGAAAAAAUUAGAGAAAGAUUUAAGGAUAUAAUUAAGUAUACCAGUAAUUUCCUUCAAAAAAAAUUAAAGAAAGAUUUAAGGAUAUAAUUAAGUAUACCGUUUGGGAGCUGGGAUUACUGCCUUGUGUGCAUAUAAUAAGCUGGUACUGCCUGGAGAAGAACAUUUAUGUCCAGACCCAAAUGGACAAAUCAAACGAGCCCACCUUCGAUCAGAAAUUAGGGCUUGAAACAUGAUUCAGGUUUGUGACGAGAAUCGCAGGAUUCAUUGUGGGUUUCACAGCCGAGUGAAAGGAAAAGAAUGGAGGGAAAAGAACGAUUCAGAUGCUCUUAUGAGAAUGGACCCUUAGUAUUACGCAUGAACGGUAAAAGAAAUUUCUAAUUAGCUACAUUUUUCUCUUCCUCAAAAUUCAAAUGCUUAAGAAUAAAUACCCAAACAAACAGACAUAUAAAUACCCACAUAUAGAAACUCAAUUUUCUAAUUUACAAAAAAAAAUCUAAGAGAAAAAAUUAGAGAAAGAUUUUAGGAUAUAAUUAAGUAUACCAGUAAUUUCCUUCAAAAAAAAAUUAAAGAAAGAUUGAAGGAUAUAAUUAAGUAUACCGUUUGGGAGCUGGGAUUACUGCCUUGUGUGCAUAUAAUAAGCUGGUACUGCCUGGAGAAGAACAUUUAUGUCCAGACCCAAAUGGACAAAUCAAACGAGCCCACCUUCGAUCAGAAAUUAGGGCUUGAAACAUGAUUCAGGUUUGUGACGAGAAUCGCAGGAUUCAUUGUGGCUUUCACAGCUGAGUGAAAGGAAAAGAAUGGAGGGAAAAGAACGAUUCAGAUGCUCUUAUGAGAAUGAACCCUUAGUAUUACGCAUGAACGGUAAAAGAAAUUUCUAAUUAGCUACAUUUUUCUCUUCCUCAAAAUUCAAAUGCUUGAGAAUAAACCCAUUUUCCCGAUUUAAACAAGAAAGUACCAGCAAUCAAACUAAAACGGACCGACGAGGAACGGCUGAGACGACGGUGGCAGUGGACAUCUCGAUGGAGAAAGGAGAGGAGGGAUCGGGAGAAUGGUAGAGAGGAAAAGAACAUUUGGGAUUCUGUAAUGGGAAUGGACCCUUAAUAUUCCUCAUUAACGGAAAAAAAACUUCCUAAUUAGCUACAUUUUCCUCUUUCUCAAAUUCAAAGAAAAUCCUUAAUUUUUUUUUUACCGU
rnacentral:lncRNA from 1 species